rnacentral:rRNA from 1 species
UACGUAGGGUGCGAGCGUUGUCCGGAAUUAUUGGGCGUAAAGAGCUUGUAGGCGGUUUGUCGCGUCUGCUGUGAAAAAUCCGGGGCUCAACCCCGGACUUGCAGUGGGUACGGGCAGACUAGAGUGUGGUAGGGGAGACUGGAAUUCCUGGUGUAGCGGUGGAAUGCGCAGAUAUCAGGAGGAACACCGAUGGCGAAGGCAGGUCUCUGGGCCACUACUGACGCUGAGAAGCGAAAGCAUGGGGGAGCGAACAGG